CUGCUCGAGUUUCUCUUCAUUGUCGGCAAAUCUUUCGCUUUUACUAAAGAUUUCCGUGGAGAGGAACCUUUUUGGCCCUGUAUUUUUGGGGGCUCUGCUCACAGCAGACCU